rnacentral:lncRNA from 1 species
AUGCUUUCCCGUCCGUCUCCCACACAUGGCCUCGCAAACCUCCAGGUCUGGGGACUCUCGCUACCUGGCAGCCACGGAACACAGGGGCACACACCCACACUUGAGCCUGAGUGCCAGCACGGCUGCAGCUGCGAGAGCCCCAGGGACGGCAUUCAGGACAUGGCAGAGGUCAUGAGGUCCCAAGGCUACCCCAGCAGGCCCCCCAUUCUCCGGGCACAUAGAGUGGGGCCACUCCCUGCAAGGCCACUGGUAAGACCAAACCGCUACAGCCGAGGCCCUGGGGUCCAGCACCUCGUGUCUCCGCGGCCAACAUCAUCACAUGUGGAUGUCCCUGACCCCAGCAUGGUGGCCAGCAAGGAAGCUGGGGACAAGCCCUGUUGCCCAGUGGCCCGGACAGCUGCGUGCACUCAUGUGACCCUGCUGCCAGCAGGUGCCACCACCGAGGACAAUUUGAUGAGGACACUGCCCCCAGUUGCAAUAACUGCCAGACAGCCUGCCAACACUGCAUGCCCUGGAAGCCCCCCGGCCAGAGAGAGCACAGUGCUUGGGCUUCCUUCCCGGCAAACAGUCACCAUGCCCCCCCACCUUCUCGAGGGGACGACCCCUCUCUGUCCACAACCUCAAGUCACCCUGGGCAAAGGUGGAGCCACUGAGGCCACCCUGCUGGAACCCACCUGCUGCUGGCCUAUACCCUGGGCAGCACCGGCCUCCCCACAGGGGCCACUUCAUCUCAACACCACCGCAGGGCCUCCUCCCCACCCCAAGACACAAGAUGGGCACAAUGGCUCCUGGCCCCUCGGGAUGCCCAGAGCAUCCAUCAGGCUCCGGAAAAUGGCACAGCCUGUCCAGCCCCUAGCGUGUCUGGCCUCCUCUGGAGUCCUCUCUCUGCCUCGGGACCCAGGGUCUCCUAGAUUCCAAGGGAUGUGUCCCCUGUGGCCCUGGCACAGGACUCAGCUCCUGACCUUGUCCCUUGCUUUUCACACAGGGGUCUGGGGAUCCUGA